CCUACGGGAGGCAGCAGUGGGGAAUAUUGGGCAAUGGGCGCAAGCCUGACCCAGCAACGCAGCGUGAAGGAAGAAGGCUUUCGGGUUGUAAACUUCUUUUCUGGGGGACGAACAAAUGACGGUACCCCAGGAAUAAGCCACGGCUAACUACGUGCCAGCAGCCGCGGUAAUACGUAGGUGGCCAGCGUUAUCCGGAUUUAUUGGGUGUAAAGGGCGUGUUGGCGGGAGCGCAAGUCAGAUGUGAAAACUCAGGGCUCAACCGUGAGCCUGCAUUUGAAACUGUGUUUCUUGAGUGCUGGUGAGGCAAGCGGAAUUCCGGGUGUAGCGGUGAAAUGCGUAGAUAUACGGAGGAACACCAGUGGCGAAGGCGGAUUGCUGGACAGUAACUGACACUGAGGCGCGAAAGCGUGGGGAGCAAACAGGAUUAGAUACCCGUGUAGUC
rnacentral:rRNA from 1 species